UCCCCCAACUUUCCCCCUCCCCCCACCCUGCUCUCUCUCUCUCUCUAACUCUCGCUCGGAUUCAAGAGCAACAUUUCUCAGUCACUGUACUUCACGGAGUCCACCAUUUCUCUCCCUUUUCUCUUUGAUUUUGUUUUUGUUAGCUACCAAAAAAUCUGAGAGCAACAUUUCCUUCGCACAAAAGCAAGCCACUCCAGCCGUUACCUGUCGACGCAGCACCACUCAAGCCAUCUGGUGGAUGGCUAUGUUAAGAUAUUCCUGAAAGUUGCACAUGGUUGGACAGUUAGAUAUGACGUAAGACAAUUGCUCGUGGGCACCAAACUUGGUAAGACAAUGUAAUUUUAGAAGCAUAAGUUAUUUCCAUACGACAAAGUGUUCCAUAUUGGUUACAUCUCCAUGUCUUCUUUGUUGAUUAUUCAAAAUUUUGAUAAUUUGAUCUGAAAUUUGUUAUCCAAAUCUGGUGCUUCCUCUGCCUUAGGAGCUUCUCAUCAAUUCUCCGUCGGUUCUUUUACUCCAAGUGGUACAUUUGGAAUGCAAAUCGUACCUUUGCUACUUUUUACAACCCAAUAAUUAAAAUCGUUAAAAACUUUGCAGGCUUCCCAUUUUGUCGUAAUAUCAAGUGCGCUUAUUAGACAACGUUUAUCUACAGAUUUAUGAGAAGACAAGCAGUUCUUGUCUGAUCAUCCUGGAGUAACACCGAUAACAACUGCUCUGAUAUGUGCAAAUCAUAUCAUUAAAGCAAUUUUUUACUGUCAUUUUAGUCAAAUAUUUGUUGGUUUAACAUGAAAUAUUUGAUCAUGAUUAGGGUGAGGACUUGAAGAAAAUGAUCGGUGCAGUCUUCAACAUAGAGUGUAGUUCUAAAACUCAGCAGAAUGUGAAGGCUGUGUUUGAUGGUGCCAUAAAGGUUGCUUUGAGGCCACUGAAAACAAAGAAGAAACCAAGCAAGCAAAGGACGUGUGCUUUCCUCUAGCAGCCAAUAUGAAAUUGAUCAUUAAUGUCACUUGUAAUCUAUAUUUUUUGUUUCUCUUAAUUGUUAUAUAUUUUUCUAAUACGUAUAAGCUCAGUCUGGAGCAAUGGGACAUUUUUUUGGAGGAUGUUUCCGAUCAAUAUAUAUAUUUUAUUGUUGCAUGAUUUAUCAAUGUUUUAAA